rnacentral:rRNA from 1 species
UACGAAGGUGGCAAGCGUUGUUCGGAUUUACUGGGCGUACAGGGAGCGUAGGCGGUUGGAUAAGCCCUCCGUGAAAUCUCCAGGCUUAACCUGGAAAGUGCAGAGGGGACUGUUCAGCUAGAGGAUGGGAGAGGAGCGCGGAAUUCCCGGUGUAGCGGUGAAAUGCGUAGAGAUCGGGAGGAAGGCCGGUGGCGAAGGCGGCGCUCUGGAACAUUUCUGACGCUGGGGCACGAAAGCUAGGGGAGCAAACAGG